GAUGAAGAACGUAGCGAAAUGCGAUAAGUAAUGUGAAUUGCAGAAUUCAGUGAAUCAUCGAAUCUUUGAACGCACCUUGCACCCUUUGGCAUUCCGAAGGGUAUGCUCGUUUGAGUGUCAUUUUACUCUCACACUCUCCGAUCCUAUGGAUUCGGGGAGCGGUGGACUUGGGUGUUGCUGCCUUUCCUUGUGGCUCACCUCAAAUGUGUCAGUGCACCUCUUGGUUGGACAUAGUACGGCGUGAUAAGUGUCUUCGCCGGCACCUCGCAAGAGGGUGGCCGAUCGGGAGCUCUGUGCUUUCAAACCGUCUUCGGACAAUUUCUGACAACUUGACCUCAAAUCGAGUAGGACUACCCGCUGAACUUAAGCAUAUCAAUAAGCGGAGGA
rnacentral:misc_RNA from 1 species